AUAAUAAUACGCCAGUUCCGUGUGUCUGUCUGUCACUUUUGCAAAGUGGAUUACAUUCUUCAAAAUUUUCUUUAACAAAUUCUAUAAAACAUCGCCUAUAAAAUUGUUCUGUAAUUUACCAAACUUUACCGAUAAAAUAGUAUUGACGUCAAAGGAAAGUUAAUUAAGAUUAGUGAAGCCAUUACAAUGCACUUAAAACUUUGAGGCCAAAUAACUUGGAAACGAGGUGGUGACGUCAAUGUUUUUUCACCGCGUGGGUAACUAGGGACAACCUGGGACCAAUUUGGGUAAGUUUUCCAAACCUGGGUCCCCGAAUCCGUUUCGGAAUGGACGGUUUGAUGACGUCAUCAAAAAACCUUUAAACCUUGAUAUCUCUGCAGCCGUUUGUCAAAGAUACAUGAUCAUAUACAUUUUCUUGAUCAGCAUUUCAAGAUCUAUACGAUGAAGGCAACAGAUAUACAAAUUUCUAAAAAAUCAUAUUUAUUUUGUAUUUGCACUGCUGACGUCAGCAAAAAACUAAAACAACCUAUUUUUCCAUUGUCCUUCUGCCUAAGUGGAUUACUCCACGGGAUUUAUCGACUAGUCUCUAUAAUAAUACGCUAAUUCCGUGUGUUUGUCUGUCACUUUUGCAAAGUGGAUUACAUUCUUCAAAAUUUUCUUUAACAAAUUCUAUACAACAUCGCCUAUAAAAUUGUUUUGUAAUUUACCAAACUUUACCGAUAAAAUAGUAUUGACGUCAAAGGAAAGUUAAUUAAGAUUAGUGAAGCCAUUACAAUGCACUUAAAACUUUGAGGCCAAAUAACUUGGAAACGAGGUGGUGACGUCAAUGUUUUUUCACCGCGUGGGUAACUAGGGACAACCUGGGACCAAUUUGUGUGAGUUUUCAAAACCUGGGUCCCCGAAUCCGUUUCGGAAUGGACGGUUGAAUGACUUCAUCAAAAAACCUUUAAACCUUGAUAUCUCUGCAACCGUUUGUCAAAGAUACAUGAUCAUAUACAUUUUCUUGAUCAGCAUUUCAAGAUCUAUACGAUGAAGGCAACAGAACACACGACAGUUACAACGUACGACACAUAUAACACAACUCCUCAUCAUCUUCAAUGCUAACCUUUUAUAUAGGUUGGGGGCUUGGUGAUAAGGCUAUUAUAGCCUUCUUCUCGCUCCUGCCAUUUUUUACCUCUCUAGCUGAUAUUUUUAGCAUAUGCAAUCCUAUCUUUAGAUUACACGAUAUAAUAGCUUAAGAUUUGUAUUUUAUUCUUACGGAAAACUGUAAAUUCUUCAACGGCAAAAUAAAUUAAAAAAAAAAAAAAAAAAAAAAAAAAAAUUCUUGAUCAGCGUUUCAAGAUCUAUACAAUGACGGCAACAGGCAUACAAAUUUCUGAAAAAAAAUUUUGUGUUCUGACAGCUGUCUGCUGACGCCAGCAAAAUUUAAAUGACGGUUGUUUUUCUCUGGCAUCCUGCCUAAGUGGAUUUUUCCACGGGCCUUAUCGACUAGUUGUAUAUAAUAACCCACGGUAAAUAAAUUAAAUCAAUCAAUCAAUCAGACCUAAAUCUAGUUGAAGGUGCAAUGCUUUCGAAGAACAAUUGAUUUUAGGUCUAACUAUGUGUAGCAUUGAACAUUUCAAGGAAGAUAUAAAUCAUGUAAAAAAGGAUCAGUUGACCUUUCCGUAGAUUUUUUAAAAUUUUUUUUCGUUACUUGUAUCAAACUUUGUUGUUUACCGAAAACCUCUCCGGGGGAGAAAUUAUAGUUAAAUAUAGUUAUUUAUUUAAAGAAUGUUGACGUAAAUCUCUGUGGUCUUGUGGUGAGAAUUUUUAUAGAUGACGCAUGUAAAGGAUUUUGUGAUCAAAAUGAAUGGCUCUACGAAAGUGAUAGUGCCAAUGACACUCAAGAAAAUAAAACAAAACAACGCAAAAAGAAUUAGUGAUAUUACUAGAACACGGGUUCGUCACAAACUCCACGGCAUAUCGGAAAAGUGGGAUGCAGCAUGCAAAAAAUCCACCGAAAAAAAUACUGACCAUGCCGUUACCGAACAUCGCGUAGACAUUAAAAUAAACUACGCCUGAAUACAACAGUUAGAAAUGCAUGACUUGAUUUUUUUUUCGCUUGGUGAACUUAAUGAGAUACUGUUGACAUUAAACUUUUAAUUUCUUUAGCGAGAUUGAGAUAACAAGCAACAAAUGUAAAUGCCUACGAUCUGAAAAAUUAGUGUUUUGGAGCUAUACACUCUGAAAAGAGAUUGGAAUAGUUGAUAUUGCAGACACCAGUCUAUGUGUGAGUGUUUAUUUCAUUGAGUAGGAAAAAAGAAAAUUUUCGUGAAUAUGAAUUGCCCUUUUUCUUUUUAUUAAAAAUGUCCUGGAAGAAUUUUUAAUAAUUGUGAAUCCAAACACAUUUCCUAAAUUUACCGUGGCCGAUAGGUGACAUGCUUAGAAUAUAUUUUAUUUCUCCUAAAAGUGAUAUCAAUGCAUAUGUCGCCGCAUAUUAUAACUGACAACUCGACACUUAUAACUGUCGCCGCAUGUUAUAACUGUGGAGUCGUCCCAAACUCUUUUUUAAUCCAAUGAGAGAGAAGUUCAAAGUCACGUGUCUUCAAUGUUUACCUACGGUUUUUACUGAAUGGUGUGGAAAUCCUGAAUGCUGGUAUUGUGUGAAGUAUAACGUGUGAGUGAUGUUAUUCUUGUUCCCAGAGCUCUUUGAGAUAAAAACUCCGAAGUACUUUUGAGAUUUAUCUCAUAAAGCUUUUGGAACAAGAACAGAUACUUUAGGAGUACUAAUUUUCGCGGGUACAUUUUUCGCGAAUUUUGCGUUUUUUGACCAUUUUCGGGAAAUUAAAUUCCCGCGAAAUAUUUCGCGAUGGUAAAUUCGCGAAAAUUAAUAACCGCGAAUUUCUUUUUCAAUUGAAAUUUGCGAAAAUUAAUACCCGUGAAAAAAGCUAAAUUUAUCAGGUAAAGAUGAUAAACAAGACAACCUUAAAAAUAUAAAUUACCGGAUUUUAUACAGCUCGUUGAAUUAUAUAAUCAUAUGUCCGCCGAUGAUGGGGGGAAAGAAAUUGUUGCCAAUGAUUGGAAAAAAGCAGGCAACUGCGACGCUAUCAAAAUGUUGUUAAAACAAAGGGCGGAUGAGCAAAGCCAUUUGACUAUUAUUGCAAACAAUAGCUCGCCCUGUCCCAUAAACAAUCUGACAGUCUGACUAAAACUAGCUGGGUAGCUAGCAAGGUAAAACCGCAAUGUUAUUGAUGAUAAUCAACACUUUGACGGUUUAUACAAAAUUUUUUUUACAGAAAAACUCGAUAAUUACACGCUUUUUUAUAAGAAUAGUGUUAUUUCAUU